rnacentral:rRNA from 1 species
GGCAGACGGGUGAGGAACACGUACCUAACCAACCGCGUCCAGGGGGAUAGUCCUUCGAAAGGGGGUUGAAUACCGCAUACGCUCGGUCCCGUGAGGGGGCUGAGGAAAGCUGGCCUCUGCGAGCAAGCUGGCGGGGGGCGACGGGGGCGCGGCCUAUUAGCUAGCUGGUGGGGUAAUGGCCUACCAGGGCGACGAUGGGUAGCUGGUCUGAGAGGAUGAUCAGCCACACUGGGACUGCGACACGGCCCAGACUCCUACGGGAGGCAGCAGUGGGGAAUUUUGCCCAAUGGGCGCAAGCCUGAGGCAGCAACGCCGCGUGAGUGAUGACGCCUUUCGAGGUGUAAAGCUCUGUCGAGCGGGACGAAGGCCUGGGGGUGAAGAGCCUCCGAGGAUGACGGUACCGCUGGAGGAAGCCCCGGCUAACUCCGUGCCAGCAGCCGCGGUAAGACGGAGGGGGCGAGCGUUGUUCGGAAUGGCUGGGCGUAAAGCGCGCGUAGGCGGUGGCACAAGUGGUGCGUGAAAGCCCUCGGCUUA